rnacentral:rRNA from 1 species
CUACGUAGGGGGCGAGCGUUGUCCGGAAUGAUUGGGCGUAAAGGGCGCGUAGGCGGCCCGGUAAGUCUGGAGUGAAAGUCCUGUUUUUACGAUGGGAAUUGCUUUGGAUACUGUCGGGCUUGAGGGCAGGAGAGGUAAGUGGAAUUCCCAGUUUCGCGGUGAAAUGCGUAGAGAUUGGGAGGAACACCAGUGGCGAAGGCGACUUACUGGACUGUAACUGACGCUGAGGCGCGAAAGUGUGGGGAGCAAACAGGAUUAGAUACCCUGGUAGUCCACACUGUAAACGAUGAAUGCUAGGUGUAGGGGGUAUCGACCCCUUCUGUGCCGCAGUCAACACAAUAAGCAUUCCGCCUGGGGAGUACGGCCGCAAGGUUGAAACUCAAAUGAAUUGACGGGG